rnacentral:lncRNA from 1 species
AAGUGAUUGGAACGGAUAGGGUGGCUUGCUUGAGUAGUCAUUAGUGGCCUGCCUUUCCUACUAGUAUGUAGGUGGCAAGUAUUACUCUCUAUUCGAGAAUCACUCCAAGAGUCAUGAAAGUCUUCUCUGUCUCAGCUAACCAGUACUCGGCCUCUUUAAAUGAGGAUGCCCCUGUAAAAGUAGAUAAGUUUAGUCUUUUAUAUCUCUCAAUGUAGCUUGGGUCUAUCGUGGGAGGAACUAAGUCCUGUGGAAGAGGGACUUGAUUGUACUGGGGAUGGACUGGAUUGUUCUGUGGUGAUACUAGAUGAUAUGUUGGAGGUACUGGAUUGUACUAUGG